rnacentral:rRNA from 1 species
AUUGAACGCUGGCGGCAGGCCUAACACAUGCAAGUCGAGCGGAGCGGCGGACCGGUGAGUCAUGCAUAGGAAUCUGCCUGGUAGUGGGGGCUAACGUCCGGAAACGGGCGCUAAUACCGCAUACUAUCAGAUGAGCCCAGAUCGGUUUAGCUAGUUGGUGGGGUAAAGGCCUACAAAGGCGACGCUCCGUACAUGGUCUGAGAGGAUGAUAAGUCACACGAGAACAGAGACACGGUCCAGACUCCUAAGUGAGGCAGCAGUGGGGAAUAUUGGACAAAGGGCGAAGGCCUGAGCCAGCCAUGCCGCGUGUGUGAAGAAGGUCUGCGGAUGGUAAAGCACUUUAAGUGGGGAGGCGGUACCAACAGAAUGAGCACCGGCUAACUUCGUGCCAGCAGCGGCGGUAAUUC